GCGGAGGAAAAGAAACCAACAGGGAUUGCCUCAGCUACGGCGAGUGAAGCGGCAAAAGCUCAAAUUUGAAAUCCCCCGGGAAUUGUAAUUUGAAGAGAUUUGGGUCCGGCCGGCAGGGGUUAAGUCCACUGGAAAGUGGCGCCACAGAGGGUGACAGCCCCGUGAACCCCUUUAACGCCCUCAUCCCAGAUCUCCAAGAGUCGAGUUGUUUGGGAAUGCAGCUCUAAGUGGGUGGUAAAUUCCAUCUAAAGCUAAAUACCGGCGAGAGACCGAUAGCGAACAAGUACAGUGAUGGAAAGAUGAAAAGCACUUUGAAAAGAGAGUGAAAAAGUACGUGAAAUUGUUGAAAGGGAAGGGCUUGCAAGCAGACACUUAACUGGGCCAGCAUCGGGGCGGCGGGAAACAAAACCACCGGGGAAUGUACCUUUCGAGGAUUAUAACCCCGGUCCUCUACAUUUCCCACUAGCUCGACCCGCGAGGCCUGCAAUCUAAGGAUGCCUGGCGUAAUGGUUGCAAGUCGCCCGUCUUGA
rnacentral:rRNA from 2 species